rnacentral:rRNA from 1 species
GGGAAUAUUGGACAAUGGGCGCAAGCCUGAUCCAGCCAUGCCGCGUGAGUGAUGAAGGCCCUAGGGUUGUAAAGCUCUUUCACCGGAGAAGAUAAUGACGGUAUCCGGAGAAGAAGCCCCGGCUAACUUCGUGCCAGCAGCCGCGGUAAUACGAAGGGGGCUAGCGUUGUUCGGAUUUACUGGGCGUAAAGCGCACGUAGGCGGACAUUUAAGUCAGGGGUGAAAUCCCAGAGCUCAACUCUGGAACUGCCUUUGAUACUGGGUGUCUGGAGUAUGGAAGAGGUGAGUGGAAUUCCGAGUGUAGAGGUGAAAUUCGUAGAUAUUCGGAGGAACACCAGUGGCGAAGGCGGCUCACUGGUCCAUUACUGACGCUGAGG